rnacentral:rRNA from 1 species
CCGAGCUAGGGCUUUAUGGUUGGCAGAGCAUCGCACUUUAUGCAAUGUCAGGUGCGUUCAUAACGAUCCUUGAAAAUCCGGGUAAGAGAUUUAUUCUCACGCCAGGUCGUACCAAUAACCGCAUCAGGUCUCCAAGGUUAGCAGCCUCUGGUCAAUAGGAUAAUGCAGAUAAGGGAAUUCGGCAAAUUAGAUCCGUAACUUCGGGAAAAGGAUUGGCUCUGAGGAUUGGAUUCAAGGGCCCAUUCAUGAAAGCUUAGCUGUCUUGGAACUGCGGAGGCAACGAAGUGGCUCCAGGAUAGCGAACGCUGGAAUGGGUGGGACGUCUUCAUCGGCUUUCCUUGAAUAAUUAACAAUUAACUCAGAACUGAAGCGGACAAGGGAAUCCGACUGUUAAUAAAACAUAGCAUUGUGAUGGCCUGAAAAGGUGUUGACACAAUGUGAAUUCUGCCCAGUGCUUUGAAUGUCAAAGUGAAGAAAUUCAACCAAAGCGCAGGUAAACGGCGGGAGUAAC